GAGAAACCGUGUUGUUUCUUUACUAAUUUCACUGAACAUUUCCCAAAAUAUUAGAAAAAAAUUCUAAUCGAGCUACAUUGAUUCAAUUUACGUUGUUCGUUUUGUUCUUAUUCGCUGACAUUUGUUUUCUAAUUACGUGAAAUUUGGUUAUUUCCUUAGCGUUUUCCUGGCCGACCUGUGCUGGUAUUGUGAUUAAAAGCUAAUACACCAUUCUCUGGUGAACUGCAGCUGGGGCCGAACUUGAUUAUUUUAUGGACGAUUCUGCUGUGCUGCGUUCCUGCUCCGCCUGUGUAUUGCUCCGCCCGUGUUUUACAGUGUUGCGUUCCUGUUGCGCCUUUGCAUUAGUGUGUGCGUUGUGCUUUAGACACGUUGAAAUUUUUUGUAUGCUUCUGCUGUGCUGCGUUCCUGCUCCACCCGUGUAUUAGAUUGCUGCGUUCCUGUUAAUAUACAUAUCGCCGUUUAAAGCACAAAAUCGCGUAUCGUCCUUAACCGCGUAACUUACAUUUGAUGCUAAAAAUUCGGAUUUGCUCACACAAGCUCUUGGCUCAAUCCUUAUCCAUUCUACCUAUUAUACUAGCCAAAAAUGGGAUUGCUUUUUAAAAAAGAUGACCAUUUUGAAAUAUAAGUGUUUUUACUCUCUAGAAAAUGAUGACAUACAUAUAUUG